rnacentral:lncRNA from 1 species
GGAGAAUGCGGGGAGACCGCGUUUAGAGGAUCAGUGGCGGCGGGCCCGCGCGGUGCCGGCGACUAGCAGCGAGAUGUCCUGGCCCCUUCCAGGUUUGGGAGAAUGGAGAGAGCAAGGUGUAGCUGAUUAGCAAGUUAAUUAUUUCAGUACCCCAAGGGUUCAUGCGUGGUGGAGAUGGCCUUGGGAGAGCAACCUCCGGACCUCAGCAGUGUGAGGAUGACAACAGUACCCUGUGGUGCUGUCCCCACUCAGGUUGGCUGCCAUCCCUGCUGAUGGAGAGAGGCUGAAGUCUGUCUGAGAAGAUAGUGCAGGCAGCUACUUAGCUGGUACUAAUUGUAUUUGCAGAGUAGGGGUGAGUCCAAUUCCUACUCAGAUUAGGUUUAGCCUCCCUGGCCUCACAGUGCUGGGAUGUUUGCAUAGGACAGAAGGUAGCAGAGAAACUUCAAGGGCAGGAAAGGGCAGAGGGAGGAGUUCCAUGGAUCAGCCUUGCCCAAGUGGAGCCCAGGGAUGUUAGCAACAGGACACGAAGGAGAGCACUAGGCUUCCGUGUCGAGUCCUGGGUAAAUCUGGAAGAACCUGCAAGUUGUCAUUUAGUUAUCUUCUCUGGGAUAAAAUGUGAUUUCCCUUCAGUGUCAGUGGCUGGUGAGCUCUUCUUCCAGAACCUUCUUACUGACACCUGAGUUUGACCUUUCAAAUGGGGACCCUGCUUUCCCAACUACCUAGCUUUUCUUUGCUUCGGGCAAACAGCUUACAUCCAAGUCCCCUGACCAGUCUUAAUUCUUUGUUUUGUUUUGUUUUUCAAUACAGGGUUUCUCUCUGUAGCCCCGACUGUCCUGGAACUCACUCUGCAGACCAGGCUGUCCUCAAGCUCAGAGAUCUACCUGCCUCUGCCUCUGAAGUACUGGGAUUAAAGGUAUGUACUAGCAUUCUGGCAGGUCUGUGCCAAACUUGUUCUCAUUUGGGCCACAGCAAGGAUAUAGUAUCCCCUUAAACAAAAGAAGCAGGGGUCCAGCAUAAUGCAUCUUCCCAGAAAAGAUUUGCCAAUGAUUUGAUAAAUGCAAUCUCUAUUCCCUCUUCGGAGUGAGUAGCUUUGUCAGUCAUGCCAAGGGCCUGCAGAAGCUGUAAGGUUGCUUGGGCUGGUCUUCCUCUUUUACUCGACUGGAGUUUGGGCCUGCUUCUGACAGACUAGGGGGAGCAGACACAUUCCAGACCCAGAGCCUGGUGGUUAUCUCUCCCCAGCCCUAAGUCCUUUCCUUUUGUUUCCACUUACUACAGAUGCAGAGGCCUCCCAGAGAAGUGUGAAGGAAUGGGCCUUAACCAGGGUUGAAGAAAGAAAGUGAAGAAGGGGAGAGCCCAAGGAAAGGUGGGGACAGUUGGAACUUUUGUUUACACUGGUCUACUACUCAUGUAUCGUAUGCUAUAAUCUCCAAAUUCCACAUUUAUUGUAGCUGUCUGCAGUGUGUAUGCCCCGGCCGCAUGCUGCUUGGCUAAAAAAGUGUUAAAUAAAACUGUAAGAAACGC